AAGAUAAAAAUUUACAGUAUAUAUUAUUCCUAUUUAUAUGUACAUUUCUGGAAAGUACAAUUACACCUUGCGGGAAGGUGUAAAAACGCACAAGUUGUAACAAACCUGCAGCAGACUUGUAGCAAUGCUGUUCCAACAACUUGUCAACAGGAUGUGUUCGCACUGCUUGUUCCCAGCUUGUUGACAACUUGCUACAAGGUUGUUGAGCGCAACAGACUUGUUACAAGUUGUUCCAACACCUUCUUAUCGUCCUGCAAUUCAACAAUUUGUCAACAAGUUGCGAGUGACAACCUUUGUGGCAACUUGAUAAAAUAACAGCAUUGUUACAACUUGUUGACAAGUUUGCU